CCUACGGGAGGCAGCAGUGGGGAAUAUUGCACAAUGGGGGAAACCCUGAUGCAGCGACGCCGCGUGAGGGAAGAAGUAUCUCGGUACGUAAAGCUCUAUCAGCAGGGAAGAAAAUGACGGUACCUGACUAAGAAGCACCGGCUAACUACGUGCCAGCAGCCGCGGUAAUACGGAGGGGGCAAGCGUUAUUCGGAUUUACUGGGUGUAAAGGGAGCGUAGACGGCAGAACAAGUCUGAAGUGAAAUCCUGUGGCUUAACCCCAGAACUGCUUUGGAAACUGUGCUGCUGGAGUGCAGGAGGGGUAGGCGGAAUUCCUGGUGUAGCGGUGAAAUGCGUAGAUAUUAGGAGGAACACCCGUGGCGAAGGCGGCUUACUGGACUGUAACUGACGUUGAGGCUCGAAAGCGUGGGGAGCAAACAGGAUUAGAUACCCUUGUAGUC
rnacentral:rRNA from 1 species